rnacentral:lncRNA from 10 species
AAAUUUGCAAAUAAAACAGAGGCUUAGAGAAGAUAAGAAACUUCUGAGGUUACAAAGUCAGGAAGUAGCAGGGCUAAAGAAUUGAACUCAGGCAGUCUGACUCCAGGGCCUGUAAUCCAAAAGCUGUUCCUGUGGUCCCCUGUCCCCGACCCCCAUGGUAUGGACUUUUCAUUGUCUGCUCCAUUGUCAUAUAGCACCCAGCCUCACACCAUCCUAGUGGCAUAUUCUCUUUUUCCAGCUCUCAUUGCUUAUCCUCCUUCCUUCUUCAUUUUAUCUCCUUCCUUUCAGAUGAACAUAGAAACUGCAAUAUUUUCUCCCUCUAUUAUUCAAAACAAUUCAAGUCUCCCCAGCCCUUUGCUUCCAGCCUCCUCUUCCAUCUUGGAUUCCAUCAAAGUUCUCUGCAGAAAGAACAAAAGAGCCUCACAUACAAUAACAUCCAUAUAUCUUCGAUGUUAAGAGUAUGGACUCAUUUUCUAAUACAUGUUUUCUGCUAUGGGGCAGGGAUGACAACCGUGUAGCAUGUGACUACCACUCCCCACUCCAAUACCCAUGGCAGGCACCGCUAAGUACUGACAAGAUUCCUUCCUGCCAAGCCCAGACCACAGCUUCAGAAUCCAUGACACAGUGCACAAGAAGGCCACUAUCAACUUAUCUGUUCUGUUAUGUGAAAGGAAGCCUUUCUUCCCUCUCAAAGGGUGAACCCACAGCUAUACAGGUAGGGAACCAGACCUCCCUUGAAGCCAGAAGGCAAAACCCAACUUCAAUUAUUAAAGAACACCAGAACUUGAUAGAUAGGCCUUAGACUGAAAUUGAUUUCUUUCUCUGAGUCUCCCUCUUUUUUAGUUUACGCUCUUGAUUGAAGCCUCCUUUGGGUGAGAGGAAAAAGUCAACCCUUCAUCACCUGGAUACAGGUCCUAUAGCUGGGCAUGCAGGCAUGGAUUGGGUCUUUUGCAGAUGCCAGACUGAAGGGCAGGGUGUGAGAGAGAGGUUUAGCUAUAUCUGCUUCACAGAGGAAAAACCAAGAGCUCAGAGAAAUUAAGUAACUUGCUCAUGUCACACAGCUGAUGG